AUAACGGAUUGUCAGCAAUCUUCUCCACUUACCAGAAAAAGUCAUCCAACUAGUGUUCUUCAGAUUGUAAGGUGCACCUGAAUCUCUUGGAUCAUAUUAAAAUGCAGAUUCUGUUCCAGUUUUUAGGUCCUGCCUCAAGAUGUAGCCACCCAGAUGGCAUAACCUGGUGGUGACUUGAGACGGCAUAACCUGGUGGAAAUCUUAGAGUGAGAGGACACAAUUUUCUCCUUCCAAUUUCUCCUUCUGGCUGACUAAGAUAAAAUGGAUAAAUGGGUAAGAUAUUUGGAACUUGGACCAUAAAAUGGAGUUACAUGUCGAGAAUGGCAGUACAAUGAGAAGCAUGGUGUCUAGGUUAUCU